GGGUGGGGGUGGGGGUGGGGGAUACCUAGGCUGUAGUGCGUCUCGCGGCUGGUAAUGCUCUUGCUGCUUACAAGCAACUGUCGCUGGCCUCGUCGCGACUGAUCUUUGGGGAGCCCCAGUGUGAGGGGCGGGGAGUUGGGGGACGGCUGGGGCCCGGCGGAAGAGAAGUCUUUCCGGGAGAGUUUACAGCGUGAGGGCGGAAAGUUUGCACAUCCCCUCCUCAGGCGCCGGGAACCGGCUGAGUGCUCGCGCUGCGCACGCUGCGGGCCAGACGAGGGACCUCAGCGUAUGUGGGGAGGGGGUUCCGCCGGCUCGCGGAAAAGAGCUGGGUGUCAGGCCACCAGCGAGGAGAGAGUCCAGAAGAACUUCCUGGAUGCCAUGGAGCCACAAUUGUAAAAAGGUACCAAAGUCCUGAGAUUGAAGGUCAGGAGGAGAGUCAAAGACCUAAGUAUUUCUAAAUAUGAAAUGCCAGAGAAGGAAGUCAGAUUCAAGCAGCUGGGCUUCCUAACUGCUCCCUUCAAGAUUCCAUUGGAACUCUGUCUCCAUCUCAUUUGAUUGGCAUUUUAUCAAGUUCUAAGCUUCUUGCUUUUUCUGCAGAUUCAUUUUGUCACUUCUCAAAAUCUUCAUUUACAAUUCUUAAUUUCAUUUGAACAAAAUAUUGGCUAAGGAAAUUAUUUGCAUAGAUUAAAAAAAAUGAUAUAUCAUUUGACAGCCGAUUUUUUUUUUAAAUCGAGAUCAUUGCUACAUAAAGUUUGGACAUGUACAAGAAAGUUGGAAUAAACUUAUUUUCAUUAAUUAAUGAGGGGUCCAGUCUUUUUCAUGUCCAGAGACUGAAUUACCUAUAUAAGCUAGAGUUUAUGAGAGUCUCCUCAUGUGUUGUUUGGACUGCUGAGAUCCUUUUUAACUCUCAAAUUCUGUGAUUCUUGUAAUUGGUAACAAAAGAGAUUUGGCAACUGAGCAUGAAUUACUUAGGGCAAACCCAUCAUCAUUACUGGAAAAAACAAAAGGCAUUCCAUUCUAUAACACAGUGAAUAACCAUUGUCAUUUUCACGGACAGAAACAGUAUGUUAACAUUGUCUUUGUAUAACUAAAAUGAAUAAUCACUUUCUUUGUCUUGUGAGUGCACUUUUAUUAGGUGAUAAUCAAGUUAUAUCUCUUGUACAAGAUUUCUUCUUCACUGCCUGUGAAAAUGAGCAAAGUAGGCAUUUACUUUUUUGCCACCAGUUGGAAGUUUUGUCAGUGCUGUGAUACUCAUUUCAGAGGUGAGGAGAAAAAAUGAAUUUAUAGGGAAGAAAAGAAUGAAAUAUAAUUCUUCAAGAACUCAGCUAUCCAUGUUAUUGUGCUAGGCAUAAAAACAAAUUUAAACUAAAAUAACACAUGGUCCCCAUCAACUGGUAAUUUAUAAUCUAAAGUUACACAAUACCUGGGGCAAGACAAGUAUAUAUUAGGAUGGGGCAAAUUCAAAGAGAAAAGAAGAAAUAAGUGAUCACAGGCUGGAUGUAGGAGUAAGGAGCCCAGCUGGGAAAUUUUGUCUUUUGCAUAUGCUUGGUUCUCUCCGCCUACCUUCAACCCCCCACUCCUGUCCCAACCAUGCAUAUGAUUGCAGAUCAUUAUGAUACAAGCUAAUUUCACAGAAGGAUGGGAUAGUACUGACAAUUGAGAAGCAACAAAAGUCAUAGUAAGAUACUCUAAUUCACCUUCUCCCUUCCCUACUUUUUUUUAAACAAAAAGGUAGAAAAGAUUAUAACAGGUGAUUUAUCUCAGGAAACUCAGCUUCCUGAUAAGACAUCAAGUGCAAAUUCACAAGGAAAUCAUUGUGAUGCAGGUUGCAUGUAAUAAACUAUCUCUAAGUUGGCCGACUUCCCAAGAAGAACCACAGAUCUGCAUAUAUGGAAGGAUGUCUUGGGUCAUGUAAAAUAUAAAAUGGCCUUAAUAUACAAUUUCAAUUACUCAACCAUCAGGUGGGACAGAUGUCACCCUAUGCUUGGUUUCAGGUAGAGAUGCUAACAUAGGCAUAAGUCUAGACAGGUUGGCAAUGGAUAGGUUUCUACAGUAGAUUGUUUUGAGAUUGAUUUAGCAAAAUGUGAAGUUUAGAUUGUGCUGGAUUGACGAACAGCUCAAACAAAGAUAGAACCUAAAGAGGAUAAAGCCAGAUGCUAGGAAAUUGAUCUACUGAUAAGCUCAAUGUUGCCUGUGUUUAAGGACCAGCAAAAUAAGUCACAAAGGGUGAACAGGAUUUGUGAUUUCAUCAGCAUAUCAGAUCACAACCCAUCUAUGACUUCUAGUAAUAGGUAAAUCAGUCAAUCAAUCAACAAGCAUUUAUUUAAAACCAGCCCUUGUGCUAAGCUCUGGGAAUACAAAGAUAAAAGCAAAACAGCUCUUGCAUUAUGAUGCUUAAUCAAUCAAUAUUUAUAGUUUAGUCAUGUUUGACUAUGACUGCAUUUGUGGUUUUCUUGGCAAAGAUACUGGAAUGGUUUGCCAUUUUCUUCUCUAGCUUAUUUUACAGAUGAAGAAACUGAGGCAAAAAGGAUUAAGUGACUUACCCAGGGCCCCACAGCUAGCAAGUAUGGCAGGGUGGAUUUUUGCCUUCUGAUUCCAAGCCCAGUGCUCUAUCAACUGUACCACCUAGCUACCCCAUUUACUGUUGUUUUUCAGUCAUUGCUGACUCAUUAAGACCCCAUUUGGGAUUCUCUUGGCAAAGACAUUAGAAUCAUUUGCCAUUUCUUUCUCCAACUCAUUUUUCAGAUGAGGAAACUGAGACCAACAGAGUUAAAUGAUUUGUCCAGGGUUGCAUAGCUGCUAAGUGUCUGACAUCAGAUUUGAACUCAGAAAGAUGAAUCUUUCUGGCUCAAGACUCAGCCACUCUAUCCACUUUGCCCCCAGGCUGCCUGUUUUAAACACCUUCCAAGGGGCAAAAUAUAGUGCUUUCCCUCAAGGAGUUUAUAACUUAAUAGGAUUGUAAUAAAUUGUAAUGUUUCUAUUCUGUGGGGGAGACAACAUAAACAUAUAGGUAUAUACAAAUUGAUACCAGGUGAUUUUGGCAAGGAGGGGAUGAGGUGAAUCUUGAAAGGAGGGAUUCUAAGAGAUGGGAGUAAGAAUAUGCUGGUUUCAGAUGGUACAGCUCUGAAGAGCGAUUGUUAAAUUUUCAGGGUGAGCAUAUAUACUUAGAAAUCAACAAAUUAUACAAAGCAGGGAUCAAUUUAUUACUUUGUUAAUUAUCUAGAUUAAAUAAAAUGAUCCAGAAAAUGUUGAUGCAUUUUAAAUUUUUCUGAGAAUCUAUUGUUAAAUAUUUACCAGCUAAGAAGACUGAAAAGGCAAAAAAUGGCCAGUUUGUGAAAGGUGUUAAAGGUCAACUAGAAGAGUUCAUAUAUGAUUCUAAAGGGAGUCACUGAAGUAUAUCAAGUAUGUGAAUGAUUUGUACUUUGCAGCUAUGAAAAGGAUAGAUUGGCUAUGAGGAGAGCCUUAUGGUAAGAAGACCAAUUAAGAAGCCAUUUCAGUAUUCUAGGCUAGGGUUGAGAGGGAUAUGAACUAAAGUGUCUGAGUGAGUAUUGAGAAGGAGAUACAUGCUAGAUAUAUUAUGAAGUAUCUGCCACAAGACAACUGGUUGUAUAUUUUAGGAGGGUUUGGGAGUUUUAAAGGGAGUUGGGUUUUGCACAUAGAUGUUAAGUGAUUUCCCCAGAAUUAAAAGGGAACAAACAUUUAUUGAAUAACCUGGAUACCCUGCCAGAUGCUGGGGAUACAAAUACAAUAGUCAGGCUCUGCCUUCAAGGUAUUUAUAUUCAACCAGAAGCAGCAACAUGUACAAGUAUUAUUAGGCAAAAACAAUAUAAAUUAAAGAGAAUUUGGUGGGAGGGAUGUACUAUGUGAAGAAAGCUAGGAAUCCUAAGAAGUAUAGGUGAAGAAAUAGUACAUUCCAGGGAAAAGGGCAAUUCAAACACAGGUAAGGUAUAUAUCAAAGACAUGAUGUUGAAAAAUGGAAUGUCCUGAGUGAGAAAUAGGAGGAAUGCUAGUCUGACUGGAGAAUAGAGUAUGAAAAGGGAAGUGGACUUGAAUAUAUGAUCAAAUAUUUGGUUUUCUGCAUAGAAGUGGGAUUUUGUUUUAUCAGGUCUGAUGAGCUCCUAAGAGGAAGGUAGGGCAGAUAACCUAAACUCAUCCCCUCCAGGUGAACCCCCCUACCCAGGUGCCUGUGCUCACUGACCACCACUUAGGAGAAAAUUUUCUUAUUAGUUUUUUAAAACUGCACUGUGUUUAAGUCAAUGGCCAGUCUGCCUCAGGGAGUAAUAUGUAAUUUAUUUGGAGCCUAAUUGUGAAGGAUGUUAAAUGCCAAACAGAAGUUAUUGAAAAAGCAAUAGGGAGCUGUUGGAAUUUUUUAAGAAAGGAAAUGAUGGGAGACAAAUACCUAUACAGCCAAAUCUUGAACUAAUCUUGCAGAAAUUAAUAGACUGAUUCUUGAGUGAAGCGAAUUUUGAAUCAUAGUUGGAAGAGGCCAUCUCAUUUCUGGACAAGAAUUCUUUCUUGAACAUUUCCAAAAAGUUAUCAUCUAGGAUUCAAACUGUAGUGGAAUUUCAAACUAUCUACUCUACUGAGAAAAGUAGAUUUCCAUAGCUAUCAAAACAGUAUAGUCCAGUCCCAAGAACUCUGAGGUUCCUGACAGUAGAUCCUUUAGAUCCAGUUCUGAACUUUUAAAAAUCCAAAGAGGCCUAAUCUUAGGAUGUGGAAGUCAGUGCCAGAACACAUGGGCUCCAAGAUAAGACCCAACAUAAGCAGUCAACAUACCCAGAAGGUCUAUCUGUGUCAUAACUCAGUUCCAGGAGAAAAUCCCAUUUCAGGGACAAAACCUGGAGAGACAAAUAAAUUAAAGAUGAAAAUAACAUCUGGAAUCAAAACCAGAGAUCCUCAAGAUGAAGGAAUGAGCAACUCUAUAACAACUCUAACUAGAGACUUUAAGGAAAAAAUAAAUUUUCCACAAGAAUUUCAUCAAUUCUUAGAACAAAUGAAAGAAGAGAUAAAAAGUGAAAUACGAGUCCUAGAGGAAAGAAUUGGAAGUAAAUUAAAUAGCUUAGAAGAGAAUGUGGAAAGCCUUGCCCAAAAAGUAGAGUUCUUGGAAGCAAGAAUAGAUCAAACAGAAAUCAAUGACUCCUCAAGACAGCAAGAAAUAUUGGAACAAAAUCAAAAGAUUGAAAAACUGGAAGAAGAAAA